rnacentral:lncRNA from 1 species
UUUUAAACAUUGUAGCAAUACUAUUGUUUUGUAUCUUGUUUGGUAUUUGAUGUCUCUGGUUUUGGAAAUUCUAGCAUACCGGUUUGCAUUCCAGUAUUUCAUAUAGUAUUACACUAUCCAAUCUUAUUUCUAUCUUUAUCAUGAUGAAAUAGUAACUAGGAGGAUAUGAUUACAUUCAUAGGUCUGAUAAAUAUUAGCCCAACCGUUUGCGGGCAUUUAAAAUACACCGUUUGCCCCUACUAUCCAGCGUGGAUGUUGCAUAGUAGGCAGGCGAACGUUUUUUUAAAUGCAUGCAGACGAUUUUUGGACUGACAUGAAGUAAAGUCCCUAUGGUAAUGUUUAGGUGAUAUAGUGGUUUGGUCCAGUUAAAAAUGUUUCAACAAUUAGUAUGCCUGAAACUGCCAAAUUGAAGUAAACACCCCUUGUACAUGAAAUUGUUCAUAUUUUGAGUUAAGACUGGUAGACAUCGAUAUAGUUCGCCCAAAAAAAAUGUCUCAGAGUAGAACGCUACACUGUCAAAAUCUUAAAUAUUGAGAAAAUGCAAGUGACAUGGAUCACAAUAAAACUGUGUUCCCGGGCUAUUCCAAUAUAAAAAUAAGAAGAUGUGGUAUGCUUGCCAAUGAGAAAACUCUCCAAAAGACACCAAAUGACAUAGACGUUAACAACUGUAGGUCACCGUACGGCCUUCAACAAGUUCGUAAUAACAUUAUUACAAAUCUGCGUUUUUGUAA